rnacentral:rRNA from 1 species
AUUGAACGCUGGCGGCAUGCCUUACACAUGCAAGUCGAACGGCAGCACGGGUGCUUGCACCUGGUGACGAGUGGCGAACGGGUGAGUAAUACAUCGGAACAUGUCCUGUAGUGGGGGAUAGCCCGGCGAAAGCCGGAUUAAUACCGCAUACGAUCUACGGAUGAAAGCGGGGGACCUUCGGGCCUCGCGCUAUAGGGUUGGCCGAUGGCUGAUUAGCUAGUUGGUGGGGUAAAGGCCUACCAAGGCGACGAUCAGUAGCUGGUCUGAGAGGACGACCAGCCACACUGGGACUGAGACACGGCCCAGACUCCUACGGGAGGCAGCAGUGGGGAAUGUUGGACAAUGGGCGAAAGCCUGAUCCAGCAAUGCCGCGUGUGUGAAGAAGGCCUUCGGGUUGUAAAGCACUUUUGUCCGGAAAGAAAUCCUUGGCCCUAAUACGGUCGGGGGAUGACGGUACCGGAAGAAUAAGCACCGGCUAACUACGUG